UUUACAGAGGGAUAGCCCAGAGAAAUUUGGAUUAAUACCUCAUAGUAUAGCAGUUUCGCAUGAAACCACUAUUAAAGUCACAACGGUAAAAGAUGAGCAUGCGUCCCAUUAGCUAGUUGGUAAGGUAACGGCUUACCAAGGCUACGAUGGGUAGGGGUCCUGAGAGGGAGAUCCCCCACACUGGUACUGAGACACGGACCAGACUCCUACGGGAGGCAGCAGUGAGGAAUAUUGGACAAUGGGCGCAAGCCUGAUCCAGCCAUGCCGCGUGCAGGAUGACGGUCCUAUGGAUUGUAAACUGCUUUUGUACGAGAAGAAACACUCCUAUGUAUAGGAGCUUGACGGUAUCGUAAGAAUAAGGAUCGGCUAACUCCGUGCCAGCAGCCGCGGUAAUACGGAGGAUCCAAGCGUUAUCCGGAAUCAUUGGGUUUAAAGGGUCCGUAGGCGGUUUAGUAAGUCAGUGGUGAAAGCCCAUCGCUCAACGGUGGAACGGCCAUUGAUACUGCUGAACUUGAAUUAUUAGGAAGUAACUAGAAUAUGUAGUGUAGCGGUGAAAUGCUUAGAGAUUACAUGGAAUACCAAUUGCGAAGGCAGGUUACUACUAAU
rnacentral:rRNA from 1 species